rnacentral:rRNA from 1 species
AGACCCGAAACCCGGUGAUCUAGCCAUGGGCAGGUUGAAGGUUGGGUAACACUAACUGGAGGACCGAACCGACUAAUGUUGAAAAAUUAGCGGAUGACCUGUGGCUGGGGGUGAAAGGCCAAUCAAACCGGGAGAUAGCUGGUUCUCCCCGAAAGCUAUUUAGGUAGCGCCUCGUGAAUUCAUCUCCGGGGGUAGAGCACUGUUUCGGCUAGGGGGCCAUCCCGGCUUACCAACCCGAUGCAAACUGCGAAUACCGGAGAAUGUUAUCACGGGAGACACACGGCGGGUGCUAACGUCCGUCGUGAAGAGGGAAACAACCCAGACCGCCAGCUAAGGUCCCAAAGUCAUGGUUAAGUGGGAAACGAUGUGGGAAGGCCCAGACAGCCAGGAUGUUGGCUUAGAAGCAGCCAUCAUUUAAAGAAAGCGUAAUAGCUCACUGGUCGAGUCGGCCUGCGCGGAAGAUGUAACGGGGCUAAACCAUGCACCGAAGCUGCGGCAGCGACGCUGAUGCGUUGUUGGGUAGGGGAGCGUUCUGUAAGCCUGCGAAGGUGGCCUGUGAGGGUUGCUGGAGGUAUCAGAAGUGCGAAUGCUGACAUAAGUAACGAUAAAGCGGGUGAAAAGCCCGCUCGCCGGAAGACCAAGGGUUCCUGUCCAACGUUAAUCGGGGCAGGGUGAGUCGACCCCUAAGGCGAGGCCGAAAGGCGUAGUCGAUGGGAAACGGGUUAAUAUUCCCGUACUUGGUGUUACUGCGAAGGGGGGACGGAGAAGGCUAUGUUGGCCGGGCGACGGUUGUCCCGGUUUAAGCGUGUAGGUGUGUGUUCCAGGUAAAUCCGGUUCACUUUAACACUGAGGCGUGAUGACGAGGCACUACGGUGCUGAAGCAACAAAUGCCCUGCUUCCAGGAAAAGCCUCUAAGCAUCAGGUAACAUCAAAUCGUACCCCAAACCGACACAGGUGGUCAGGUAGAGAAUACCAAGGCGCUUGAGAGAACUCGGGUGAAGGAACUAGGCAAAAUGGUGCCGUAACUUCGGGAGAAGGCACGCUGACACGUAGGUGAAGUGAUUUACUCAUGGAGCUGAAGUCAGUCGAAGAUACCAGCUGGCUGCAACUGUUUAUUAAAAACACAGCACUGUGCAAACACGAAAGUGGACGUAUACGGUGUGACGCCUGCCCGGUGCCGGAAGGUUAAUUGAUGGGGUCAGCGCAAGCGAAGCUCCUGAUCGAAGCCCCGGUAAACGGCGGCCGUAACUAUAACGGUCCUAAGGUAGCGAAAUUCCUUGUCGGGUAAGUUCCGACCUGCACGAAUGGCGUAAUGAUGGCCAGGCUGUCUCCACCCGAGACUCAGUGAAAUUGAACUCGCUGUGAAGAUGCAGUGUACCCGCGGCAAGACGGAAAGACCCCGUGAACCUUUACUAUAGCUUGACACUGAACAUUGAGCCUUGAUGUGUAGGAUAGGUGGGAGGCUUUGAAGUGUGGACGCCAGUCUGCAUGGAGCCGACCUUGAAAUACCACCCUUUAAUGUUUGAUGUUCUAACGUGGACCCGUGAUCCGGGUUGCGGACAGUGUCUGGUGGGUAGUUUGACUGGGGCGGUCUCCUCCUAAAGAGUAACGGAGGAGCACGAAGGUUGGCUAAUCCUGGUCGGACAUCAGGAGGUUAGUGCAAUGGCAUAAGCCAGCUUGACUGCGAGCGUGACGGCGCGAGCAGGUGCGAAAGCAGGUCAUAGUGAUCCGGUGGUUCUGAAUGGAAGGGCCAUCGCUCAACGGAUAAAAGGUACUCCGGGGAUAACAGGCUGAUACCGCCCAAGAGUUCAUAUCGACGGCGGUGUUUGGCACCUCGAUGUCGGCUCAUCACAUCCUGGGGCUGAAGUAGGUCCCAAGGGUAUGGCUGUUCGCCAUUUAAAGUGGUACGCGAGCUGGGUUUAGAACGUCGUGAGACAGUUCGGUCCCUAUCUGCCGUGGGCGCUGGAGAACUGAGGGGGGCUGCUCCUAGUACGAGAGGACCGGAGUGGACGCAUCACUGGUGUUCGGGUUGUCAUGCCAAUGGCACUGCCCGGUAGCUAAAUGCGGAAGAGAUAAGUGCUGAAAGCAUCUAAGCACGAAACUUGCCCCGAGAUGAGUUCUCCCUGAGACUUUAGGUCUCCUGAAGGAACGUUGAAGACGACGACGUUGAUAGGCCGGGUGUGUAAGCGCAGCGAUGCGUUGAGCUAACCGGUACUAAUGAACCGUGAGGCUUAACCUU